AGAGUUUGAUCCUGGCUCAGAACGAACACUGGCGGCGUGGAUUAGGCAUGCAAGACGAACGAGAAAGUUUCCUUCGGGAAAUGAGUACAGUGGCGAACGGGUGAGUAACGCGUGGGAAACCUGCCCUUUUGUGGGGGAUAACAGUUCUAACGAGCUGCUAAUACCGCAUAAGACCUCCGGAUCGCAUGAUCUGGAGAUGAAAGGUGGCCUCUCUUUAGAAGCUACCGCGAAAGGAUGGUCCCGCGUCCCAUUAGCUAGUAGGUGGGGUAAAAGCCUACCAAGGCAACGAUGGGUAGCCGGCCUGAGAGGGUGUCCGGCCACACUGGGACUGGGAUACGGCCCAGACUCCUACGGGAGGCAGCAGUCGAGAAGCUUCCGCAAUGGGGGAAACCCUGACGGAGCGACGCCGCGUGAGUGAAGAAGGUCCUUUGGAUUGUAAAGCUCUGUCAGAUUGGGAAGAAAAUCCUACGGUUAAUACCCGUGGGACUUGACGGUACCAUCAGAGGAAGCGCCGGCUAACUCCGUGCCAGCAGCCGCGGUAAUACGGAGGGUGCAAGCGUUGUUCGGAUUCACUGGGUAUAAAGGGUGCGCAGGCGGCCUUAUAAGUCAGGGGUGAAAUAUGACGGCUCAACCGUCGAACUGCCCCUGAAACUGUCAGGCUUGAGUUCGGGAGAGGAAGGUGGAAUUCCUGGUGUAGCGGUGAAAUGCGUAAAUAUCAGGAGGAACACCGGUGGCGAAGGCGGCCUUCUGGCCCGAUACUGACGCUCAGGCACGAAAGCAUGGGGAGCGAACGGGAUUAGAUACCCCGGUAGUCCAUGCCGUAAACGAUGGAUACUAGGUGUUGGAGGAGUCUACCCCUUCAGUGCCGCAGCUAACGCAUUAAGUAUCCCACCUGGGGAGUACGAUCGCAAGGUUGAAACUCAAAGGAAUUGACGGGGGCCCGCACAAGCGGUGGAGCAUGUGGUUUAAUUCGAUGCAACGCGAAGAACCUUACCUGGGCUUGACAUGCAGGGGACAGAUGUAGAAAUACAUCCUUCUUCGGACUCCUGUACAGGUGCUGCAUGGCUGUCGUCAGCUCGUGUCGUGAAAUGUUGGGUUAAGUCCCGCAACGAGCGCAACCCCUGUCUUCAGUUGCCAUCAGGUUAUGCUGGGGACUCUGGAGAGACUGCCGGUGAUAAACCGGAGGAAGGUGGGGACGACGUCAAGUCAUCAUGGCCCUUACGUCCAGGGCUACACACGUGCUACAAUGGUCGGUACAAAGGGCUGCGAUACAGUGAUGUGGAGCGAAUCCCAAAAAGCCGGCCUCAGUUCGGAUCGGAGUCUGCAACUCGACUCCGUGAAGUUGGAAUCGCUAGUAAUCGCGUAUCAGAACGACGCGGUGAAUACGUUCCCGGGCCUUGUACACACCGCCCGUCAAGUCAACCGAGUUGGCUGCACCCCAAGUCGCUGAGCUAACCUCUUCGGAGGAGGCAAGUGCCCAAGGUGUGGUUGGCGAGGGGGACUAAGUCGGAACAAGGUA
rnacentral:rRNA from 1 species